rnacentral:misc_RNA from 1 species
AUGAGUUGCAAAACUCCCAACCAUUGUGAACCUUACUGUCAUUCGUUGCCUUCGGCGGGCGGCCACAGCGGCCCUACGCGCCACCCCCGUUGCGGGGGGAGGCAGACCCGCCGGAGGGUCACUGAACUCUUAGUAUUACAUGGCUCUCUUGAGUAGACUUAUAAAUAAGUUA